GGAAUUUCAAAAUUCAAAGCACACAAAAAUUUCCUCUGAUGAGAGGACUUCAGACAACCCAGUAAAUGCAAGAAACAAGCUAUGAAUAAAGAGUUUUGAAGAAAAUAAGUUUAGAUAUCCACCUCUGAAAUGUGGAGCUUGAGAGCAUGAUCCUUCAAAGCUUUUGCUUGCAGUAUGAUCUCAGGAUGAAGAUGAGCAAGGUUAAGGAACUAUAGAUCUAAAGAUCAAUCAAUGCAAUUGAA
rnacentral:lncRNA from 1 species